CCUCCUCCUGCUCCUCCUGGUUUGUCCCUGAAGUUUCCUAGAAUCUUCCACAGUUCCAGUUUCAGGGAACGUCGGUAAGCUGCCGGCUCCAAAAAAUGUGAUCAGCUGAUGGGGCUUCAGGAUGUGAAACUGUUCUCCACUCUUCAGGCGGAAGGAGGUUCUGAAUGUGCCGUUUUGUGCUCUUAUACAGUGGAGCUGUCGUUUCAGGCAAAGCGCUCAACCCUCUACCUCCCCUGCCGCCUCCGGUCAUCGUUUUUCCUCCGGCUGACCACUACGUUGCCUCCUUCGGUCUGGUCUCCGGUCUCCUUCUCCGCCGCCACCAGUGUCUAGACUCCAUCAGGGGUUAUGUCCUGUUUCUCUACCCCUUCAAAAAAAUAUAUUACAACGAUGGAGUCUAAUCUCCAAAGACUCUGUACUUUUUAU